UCUAGGUCAACAUGAACCAAUUAUAGUACUAGCUGGUGCGAUAUAUGCUGCCCGGAUAGCUAAAGUGGGCAGCGUCUGAAGACGGUAACUUUGCGGGUGUGGAGCUUUCAGCUGACGAGAACCUGUCUCAGGCCAGGGGCUUUGGAGCUUGGAACUUCCAGAGGUGUCAAAAGGAAGAACGUCGCUGUUCCUUUAGGUGAAAAAAGACGACACCGUAACAAAGCAGCAGAAAAAUAAUAACACGGUGGCAUGUUUCUUUCUGUUUGGCCGAGUAUAAGCUCACUGCUGAUUUUGUGCUUCUGUUGGUUUCCUUUGGUUUAAAUGAGCAUGAGAGAUGUUCUUGGCUGUCACUGCCUUGUUUCUUUUUGAAACUGACUCUGGCUGUGAGUCGUUGGUUCUUGGCUGUCUAGUGCCUUCAGCUCUCUGUCCAUUGUACAAGAACUUGUCAGCAUGCAAAUGUGCUAAGAUCAAUGCUGGCCUACUUCAUUAACAGUGAUAAUUCAUGCGUUUUUAUUUUUCAAGUUGUUGAGAGGUACUACUGCUAAAACGUCUCAUAUCUACGAACAGAGGAUGUUGAUUGGUGCGAAUGCCGAGUAGAAGGCAUUCUUAGUGCCCUAAGGAAAUGCCUUUGAAGUAUUUUAUGAUACUCCCUCUGUCCCAUAAUGUAAGACGUUUUUCGACACUACACUAGGGAUAGAGGGAGUAGUUAUUAAGGGGUUUGCAUUUUCUUGACGCACAACAUGACCAUAUUCUCUAACCAAGGUUAUUUCAA